AGAACGAACGCUGGCGGCAGGUCUUAGGCAUGCAAGUCGAACGGAUGACAAGAGAGCUUGCUCUCUUGAAGUCAGUGGCGCACGAGUGGGUAACGCGUGGGAAACUGCCCUUCACUGGGGAAUAACGUUUGGAAACGAACGCUAAUACCGCAUACGCCCGCAAGGGGAAAGAUUUAUCGGUGAUGGAUGUGCCCGCGUUGGAUUAGCUAGUUGGUGGGGUAAUGGCCUACCAAGGCGAUGAUCCAUAGCUGGUCUGAGAGGACGAUCAGCCACGCUGGAACUGAGACACGGUCCAGACUCCUACGGGAGGCAGCAGCUAAGAAUAUUGGGCAAUGGAGGAAACUCUGACCCAGCCAUUGCCGCGUGAAUGAAGAAGGCCUUCGGGUUGUAAAGUUCUCUUAGUCAUGAAGAUGAUGACAGUAGUGACAGAAAAAGCACCGGCUAACUUCGUGCCAGCAGCGGC
rnacentral:rRNA from 1 species